CCUAUAGAAUUUUAUAUUAACUUUACCUAGCGGUUAAUGCUGGUUUUUUGUUAAUAUUUGGUUGGGAGGAUUAUUAAAUUUAACAAACUUUAUAUCAUUAUAAACUUUGAUUUAAGAAAAUAUAAUGACCUUCAAUUUGAAAUAGUUAGAGUAAAUUACCUUAGGGAUAACAGCGUAAUAUUUUUUUAUAGACCUUAUAGAAAAAAAUGGUUGCGACCUCGAUGUUGAAUUAAGAUAAAUUUUAAAUGCAGGAGUUUAAUAAUUAAGUCUGUUCGACUUUUAACAAAA
rnacentral:rRNA from 1 species